ACUUAGGAACACUAGUGGCCACUUGGUAGUUCUGGACCUACGCAGGUUGCUCUUCCAUAACUUGUGUUUCAUGCUCUAGUUCCUCCAUAAGCAUGAUACUACUUUGUGAUUCUUGAAUUUCAUCAAACUUUACUUUCCUCUUACCGAUUCCUUUGAAAAUAAAGUCCUUUUACAAGAAUAAUUUAGUUUGAACGACAAAUAUUUUUCCCUUAAAAGGAUUAUAAAAAUAAUACCCUAGUAUUUCUUUAGGAUAUUCCACAAAGAAACAUCUAUUAAAUAUAGACUAGAGUUUAAUUGAACUUUGUCUUUUUACAUAAAUUUUGCAACCCCAAACAUUAAUGUAAAGUAUAUAUGGUCUCUUUUCAAACAUUAAGAAUAAUCAUUUAAGAGGAAAAUCUGAUAAGCAUACAUAUAUUAAAUAAUGUGUAAAGAAAUAUUUGUACUCUUUUGAUUAUAGUUAAUAAUGUUAUAAUGUUUAAAAUUUAUUUAUUAAUUAAUAUUUUCUAUGUUUCACACUAAACAUCACUUUAAUAAAUAAAUUUUAAUUUAAAAUAUUUUUUUAAUAUAGAAUUUUAAAUAUAUUACUCUUAAAAGAUAUUUAUUUAUGGCUUAAUAUCUAUUUUGGUCUAAUAUGUUAACUUUGUGGUUCAUUUUGGUCCAUAACUUAAAAAUGGUCUAUAUUAUUUACCUCUUUAAAAUGUAUUAUGUGAGUCUUUUUUCGUCUAAUUAGUGACGAAAAAUUUAAAAAUUAAUCAUUAAAUUUGUCGUUAAUUAGACGAAAAGAAUCAACAUGGUACAAUUUAAAGAAUUAAGCGAUUAAUAUGGAUCUUUUUAAAUUAAGAGACAAAAAUGAACCUAAAAUAAAUAUAUGAGACUAAAAAUAAUAUUAAAUAUUUAUGAUUGUGUAAAAUACACAAAUAAUAGUAUUAAAGUUAGUUUAAUAUUAUUUGUGUAUAUUAAUAAAUAUUUUAUGUCUAAUAAAAAUUUAUGGCAUCUUAAUUCAUAAAUAUAAUCUUUAGAUAAUACUAGUAGCUAUUUUGAUAUAGAUGAUGUAAAUGUUUUUAUUUUCAAUUAUUCUUUCUAACAUAGAAUAAAUGGUCAAAAUUUGAGGUGGUAAUUUAGUGGUAAGAGUUUGGUCUUGUAAUCUUAAAUUCUUAAUAUAUCAAGUUUGAAUCCUUCAAAGACGAUUUACUUUAUCACUUAAAUUAAUAAAAUCAAAUCCAUUUUCUCACAAUUUUUUUUAAAAUAUUACAAAUUCUUAUAUUACUUAUAAGGUAAAAAAAAAAAAAACCUAAACUUUUAUAUUAUAAGAUUAAAACUUUUUAUUUACAUUCCAUUCCAUAAAAAAAAAGAGAUAUAUUUACCGUAUAUGCAAGAGAUAGUAUGUCUUUUUUAUAAGCCAAUAAAAAAUUGAUUGCUUUGACGAAUACAAAGCAUAGUUAAGCAUAAUUAUGGCUUCUAUUGACUAAAUGCUCUACAAUUUCAAAUCUUGUUCCCAUAUUUAUUAACAAGACUUUAUCAAAAAUCAAAGAUAUUAGUCAAAAUACAUCCCCCAAAUACAACAUUAUUAUUCUACUUUUUCCUUUCCCCUUAAAUAAUGUCAUUUAAAAAAUAAAUAUAAUUCCAGCAAAUAGUAUAUAGUUUUCAUAUUAAUUUCCAGAGUAUGAUCUUGUCAUAUGCUUGUAUUCAUAUGCAACCUAUCUUGUUCUAUAUUGUUUUUCUUUACCAUGGUAGUAUCAUAGAAAUAAACCAAAAAUGUAUAAAACCAUAAGAGGAACAAAAUGAGAUAUUAUAUACAAUACUUAGAAAUUCAAAAUACUCAUAUAUAUUCUUGCUCAAAACUUAUACAUGUGCAUAUAUAUAGAUUAGAAAAGACUAGCUUAAUCAUAUUAUAGUAUUACACUCAAGAAACAAAAGUACUCAUAUUUGGAACUUUAGUAGAAGAAGAUGAAAAGGCAAUGAAAAAGAGAAGCAACAAAAUGAAAACAGGAACAAAGAGAAGCAUCAAAGGUGGUGGUGGCAAAGGUGGCAUCACCAAAGGUAGAAUCAAAAUGAACAAAGCAAGAAAUGUUAAAAUCAAAACCGAGUACCUAAUCAUGCAUCCAUUACUACUAGUACUAGUGUUCUUCUCUUUUGAAGCAACCUUGUUUUUUACCAUCUUCAUUCUUGAUCCUUAAAAAAACCACAUUGAGAAUCUAGUUAAGAAACCUCGGAGAGUGAAAUGUGUGUUUUGUAAGAGUUUUGUGGGAAUAGAAUAGAAAAGGAAUGAAGGAGAAUUAUGAAGAGAGAUGAAUGAGGAUUUUAUUGUUGUAUAGAAAAUGACAAGGAUGUUGAGGGACAUAGUCUUAUCAUUGUAAAUGCCAAAGGAGUCAUUGUCUUUUAAGAUAAAAAAAAAUGUCUUGGUUCAACCAACUUAAAUGUACGUUGUAUCAAAA
rnacentral:lncRNA from 1 species